UACGGGGGGGGCAAGCGUUGUUCGGAAUUACUGGGCGUAAAGGGCUCGUAGGCGGCCAACUAAGUCGGAUGUGAAAUCCCCAGGCUUAACCUGGGAACUGCAUCCGAUACUGGAUGGCUUGAAUCCGGGAGAGGGAUGCGGAAUUCCAGGUGUAGCGGUGAAAUGCGUAAAUAUCUGGAGGAACACCGGUGGCGAAGGCGGCAUCCUGGACCGGCAUUGACGCUGAGGCACGAAAGCGUGGGGAGCAAACAGG
rnacentral:rRNA from 1 species